rnacentral:rRNA from 1 species
CAGCAGCCGCGGUAAUACAGAGGGUGCAAGCGUUAAUCGGAAUUACUGGGCGUAAAGCGCGCGUAGGUGGUUUGUUAAGUCGGAUGUGAAAUCCCCGGGCUCAACCUGGGAACUGCAUCCGAAACUGGCAAGCUAGAGUAUGGUAGAGGGUAGUGGAAUUUCCUGUGUAGCGGUGAAAUGCGUAGAUAUAGGAAGGAACACCAGUGGCGAAGGCGACUACCUGGACUGAUACUGACACUGAGGUGCGAAAGCGUGGGGAGCAAACAGGAUUAGAUACCCCAGUAGUCCCUGUCUCUUAUAC